AUUCCUACUGUUAUUGCGUGCACAAUAAUUCAUAUAAUGAGCCGCGAUAA
rfam:Vibrio cholerae O1 biovar eltor str. N16961 chromosome II, complete sequence.